rnacentral:tmRNA from 1 species
GGGGGUGAACGGUCUCGACGGGGGUCGCCGAAGGCAGGUGGCGUGCCGAGGUGCGGGUGGCCUCGUAAAAACCCGCGCGGCAAUAACUGCCAACAAGCAGCUCGCUCUCGCGGCCUAAGUCCGCGACCUCGCCCGGUAGCCCUGCCGGAGGCUCACGGUAGCGGGGACACAAGUCCGGCUAGCCAAGGCUUAGGCCCCGUAACCCAAGGCGAAAGUAAACGGGGCUUGCCCCUGGCCGCUUGCUCCCGGGCCAAGCCAGGGGGACUUCCAAAGCGGGGGCUACGCACGUAGAAGCUCGCCGUAGGGACCUUCGGACGGGGGUUCGACUCCCCCCACCUCCACCA